rnacentral:piRNA from 1 species
UCUUACUCUCUCGAGCAUUGUGGGCUA